AUGUGCAUUCCAAAAAACGAAGGAAGUAUGGGUUUUCGUGAUAUACAUUGCUUCAAUCUAGCUUUAUUGGCUAAACAAGUGUGACAUCUCCUUGAUAAUCCCUAUUCUCUAUGUGCUAAUAUAUUGAGAGCAAAGUAUUUCCCGAUGUUGAUUUGA
rnacentral:rRNA from 1 species